CAGGCAGGUAGACAGACAGAGAGGAAGGUAGUUAGAUAGACAGAAAGGUAUACAGACAGGCAGACAGAAAGGUAGGUAGGCAGACAGACCGGCUGACAGACAGACAGACAGACCGGCUGACAGACAGGUAGGCAGACAGACUGAUGCACUGACCACACAGCUGCAGGUCGCAGUAGUCAACCGACACGUUGCCAUAAACUUCUACGAAGCACCACGGUCCCUCGGGGUCGUCG